AUACCACAGAAGCAGUUUUGCUCUGCUGAAGGGCAGGUUAAGACCAGAAUCAGAGACGUCACAAGGCAGGGUGAAGCUGAUUUACCUCUGAGUGCCCGCGUUGUGCCAAACUGCAGUUAUUUUAUGACUGCUAUCAGCAGGCACCUGUGAAGACCUAUCCUAUUCCCAGAAAGGGGAAAAAACUAUGAGCAGUGAAUUAAAGACAUGAAGAACUACAGGGGCCGAUGACCUAUAGUUCUGAUUAAUAUCAAUAGCACUGAUGAAGUGAGUUCUCAUGGGAAUCAAUAGCAAAAUGUCAAUGGUUUUGAUAGAUCAGACCCAAAAUAAGCUGCCAAUUACAGUACUCCAAAUACGUUUUGAAUGCAUGUAAAAAUGUUUAUCUCUACUGGGACAGUGA